rnacentral:rRNA from 1 species
CCAAUAGCGUAUAUUAAAGUUGUUGCAGUUAAAAAGCUCGUAGUUGAAUUUCGGGAUCAGUGGGUCGGUCGUGCCACUGGUAUGUACUGGCUCUACUGGUUCCUCCUUCUUGAAGAACUGUAAUGCCAUUAAUUUGGUGUUGCAGGGAAACAGGACUGUUACUUUGAAAAAAUUAGAGUGUUUAAAGCAGGCAAUCGCUUGAAUACAUUAGCAUGGAAUAAUGAAAUAGGACGAUCGAUCCUAUUUUGUUGGUUUCUAGGAUUGACGUAAUGAUUAAUAGGGAUAGUUGGGGGCAUUAGUAUUCAAUUGUCAGAGGUGAAAUUCUUGGAUUUAUUGAAGACUAACUACUGCGAAAGCAUUUGCCAAGGAUGUUUUCAUUAAUCAAGAACGAAAGUUAGGGGAUCGAAGACGAUCAGAUACCGUCGUAGUCUUAACCAUAAACUAUGCCGACUAGGGAUCGGAUGAUGUUAAUUUUUUAAUGACUCAUUCGGCGCCUUACG